CAGCCGCCGCGGUAAUACGUAGGGUGCGAGCGUUAAUCGGAAUUACUGGGCGUAAAGCGUGCGCAGGCGGUUCGUUAAGACAGAUGUGAAAUCCCCGGGCUUAACCUGGGAACUGCAUUUGUGACUGGCGAGCUAGAGUAUGGCAGAGGGGGGUAGAAUUCCACGAGUAGCAGUGAAAUGCGUAGAGAUGUGGAGGAAUACCGAUGGCGAAGGCAGCCCCCUGGGCCAAUACUGACGCUCAUGCACGAAAGCGUGGGGAGCAAACAGGAUUAGAGACCCGCGUAGUCCCUGUCUCUUAUAC
rnacentral:rRNA from 1 species